GGCCGAGUAGUUCAACGGUAGAACAGGCGACUCCAAAUCGCUAUGUUGCAGGUUCGAAUCCUGUCUCGGUCGCCA
rnacentral:tRNA from 1 species